rnacentral:lncRNA from 1 species
AUAAUAAAUAGAUUUAAAUCUACUUAAUAAAUAUAUAUAUACCAUUGAACUUGAUGGGAUACGAAUUAUACGAAACUAAUUUCAACGAUUAAACCGUCAAACUUGUUUGUAUAUGCUUCGAGAUUGCAUCAUUAAAAAAUCGCAAAAAAAAAAAACAUUCAUAGAUCAAGUAACCGAACAAAACUUUUCAACGGUUAUAAAACGAAAAAUCACGACUUAACUGUUAUUUUAACUCCGAUUUUUAUGAUUUUUUACAGCUACAUUCUUUGACCCUAUAUGAAUACAAUGAAUGAAUUCCAUCUUCAAUUUAAAAUAUUUACACUAGUGGAUAUCUUAUGUUAUACUUAAUAAAUGUAUAAAUAAACUCUUAAGUGUUAGUGAAUCUAUUGUUUUGAUGGGAUACGCAUUCUAUGAAACUAAUUUCAACGAUCCAACCGUCAAACAUGUUUGUAAAUACUUCGAGAUCGCAUACGCCAAAAAAUGCAAAAAAACAAACAUUUAGAGAUUAAGUAACCAAACCAAACUUUUCAACGGUUAUAAAACGAAAAAUCACGAUUUAACGGUUGUUUUAACUCCAAUUUUGAUGAUUUUUUACAGCUACACUCCUUGACCCUAAUUGAAUACAAUGAAUGAAUUCGAUCUUCAAUUUAAAAUAUUUACACUAGUGAAUCUUAUGUUAUACUUAAUGAAAGUAUGAAUAAACUCUUAAAUGUUAGUGAAUCUAUUGUUUUUAUGGGAUACACAUUCUACAAAACUAGUUUCAACGAUCCAACCGUCAAACAUGUUUGUAUAUACUUCGAGAUCGCAUACGCCAAAAAUUGCAAAAAAAAAACAUUCAAAGAUCAAGUAACAGGACAAAACCUUUCGACAGUUAUAAAAAGAAAAAUCACGAUUUAACGGUUAUUUUAACUCCGAUUUUGAUGAUUCUUUACAGCUACACUCCUUGACCCUAUAUGAAUACAAUGAAUGAAUUUGAUCUUCAAUUUAAAAUAUUUACACUAGUGGAUAUCUUAUGUUAUACUUAAUGAAAAUAUGAAUAAACUCUUUAAGUGUUAGUGAAUCUAUUGUUUUGAUAGGAUACGCAUUCUACCAAACUAGUUUCAACGAUCCAACCAUCAAACAUGUUUGUAUAUACUUCGAGAUCGCAUACGCUAAAAAUUGCAAAAAACAAACAUUCAGAGAUUAAGUAACUGAACAAAA